rnacentral:siRNA from 1 species
UCUAUAAAAAUCUCUAGAUGC